rnacentral:rRNA from 1 species
GAUGAACGCUGGCGGCGUGCUUAACACAUGCAAGUCGAACGGAAAGGCCUCUGCUUGCAGGGGUACUCGAGUGGCGAACGGGUGAGUAACACGUGGGUGAUCUGCCCUGCACUUCGGGAUAAGCCUGGGAAACUGGGUCUAAUACCGGAUAGGACAAUGGGUUGGAUGCCGUUAUGGAAAGUUUUUCGGUGUGGGAUGAGCUCGCGGCCUAUCAGCUUGUUGGUGGGGUAAUGGCCUACCAAGGCGUCGACGGGUAGCCGGCCUGAGAGGGUGUACGGCCACAUUGGGACUGAGAUACGGCCCAGACUCCUACGGGAGGCAGCAGUGGGGAAUAUUGCACAAUGGGCGCAAGCCUGAUGCAGCGACGCCGCGUGGGGGAUGACGGCCUUCGGGUUGUAAACUCCUUUCGCUAGGGACGAAGCGCAAGUGACGGUACCUGGAGAAGAAGCACCGGCUAACUACGUG